AAUAUUGGACAAUGGGGGCAACCCUGAUCCAGCAUUGCCGCGUGUGUGAAGAAGGUCUUCGGAUUGUAAAGCACUUUAAGUUGGGAGGAAGGGCUUUAGGCUAAUACCCUGAAGUUUUGAUGUUACCAACAGAAUAAGCACCGGCUAACUCUGUGCCAGCAGCCGAGGUAAUACAGAGGGUGCAAGCGUUAAUCAGAAUUAUUGGGCGUAAAGCGCGCGUAGGUGGUUCAGUAAGAUGGGUGUGAAAUCCCCGGGCUUAACCUGGGAACUGCUUUCAUAACUGCUGAGCUAGAGUACGGUAGAGAGUAGUGGAAUUACCUGUGUAGCGGUGAAAUGCGUAGAUAUAGAAAGGAACGCCAGUGGCGAAGGCAACUACCUGGACUGAUACUGACACUGAGGUGCGAAAGCGUGGGGAGCAAAC
rnacentral:rRNA from 1 species